AUUGAACGCUGGCGGCAUGCCUAACACAUGCAAGUCGAACGAGUGGCGGACGGGUGAGUAAUGUAUCGGAACGUGCCUAAUGGCGGGGGAUGACUACUGGAAAGAGUGGCUAAUACCGCAUACUAUUGGAUCUGCCGAGAUGGGAUUAGCUAGUUGGUGGGGUAACGGCUCACCAAGGGGACGAUCCCGAGCUGGUCUGAGAGGAAGACCAGCCACACUGGGACUGAGACACGGCCCAGACUCCUACGGGAGGCAGCAGUGGGGAAUGUUGGACAAGGGUCGAAAGCCUGAUCCAGCCAUCCCGCGUGUAUGAAGAAGGCCUUCGGGUUGUAAAGUACUUUUGGCAGAGAAGCGGUAUCUGCAGAAAAAGCACCGGCUAACUACGUGCCAGCAGCCGCGGUAAUAC
rnacentral:rRNA from 1 species